AUUAAACAAUUGUGGUCAAUAUAGCCUUAGGCAUUUAUAAAACUUUUGAAACUGCAUCGUUUGUUCUUCCUUUCUCAAGUUGUGGCCGUCGAACUCUCUAGCCUUCGUGUUGUCGCCAUCAGCCAUCAGCCAUCAGCAAUCAGCUGCAUCUGUGCUUAUUGAUCAUGGAUAAAAGCUGGAUGCAUGAACCAAAAUUCUCUAAAAGAUAUUUUGAGGGUGUCCAAUCUUUCAUGCAACUUGUUCGUUAUCACUUUGAUAGAAAUUCAAAAGUUCGAUGCCCAUGUCAAGGUUGUUUGAAUGUUUUUGUUCAAACACAAGAAGUAGUGUAUGACCAGCUAUUGAUCAAAGGAAUUAUGGGAAGUUACGUGCAAUGGAUUUACCACGGGGAACAAUCACAAAUGAGAGAUAACAAUAAAUCAAUUUUUUCUGAAGAUGAAAAUGAAGUUCAUGAUAACCAUGAUGGAAUUCACACUAUGUUAGAAGAGACCAGUGGUAGAUCAUUUGUCGAGUUUUCAUAGGAGACGACGGGUAAUAAUGUUUGCGGUAAUAUGAGUGAUAAAGAAGCUAAGAAGUUUGACAAAUUGCUGGAAGAAACAGGACGUGAAUUAUACCCCGGAUGUAAGAAAUUUUCAACGCUUUCGUUUGUUGUGAAGUUAUUACACUUGAAAGUGUACAAUCAUUGGAGUAAUAAAUCAUUAGAUAUGUUGUUGGAGUUUCUUAAAGAGGCAUUGAAUACUAAUGAGACACUUCUGAAGUCAUAUUAGGAUGCUAAAAACAUGUUGCAGGGUUUAGGAUUAGGAUAUAUUUCGAUCCAUGCCUGCAAAAAUGAUUGUGUAUUGUACUGGGCUGAACAUAUAGAUAGGCAGGAGUGUCCACAUUGUGGUACUUCCACGUGGAAAUUGAUAAUGGAAGGAAUAAGAAGAUUCCCCAUGAAUUUAUGCGGUAUUUUCCAUUAAAACCUAGUCUUCAAAGAUUGUUUAUCUCUAGAGAAAACAAUUGUGGACAUGAAGUGGCAUAAAGAAAAACAUCUUGAUGAGGAAAAUGUGUCAAGGCAUCCCGCUGAUUCUGAAGCAUGGAAAGAGUUUGACAAAAUCAUGAGUGGUUUUCACAAGAACCUAGUAAUAUUAGACUUGGUCUUGCAACGGGUGGUUUUAGCCCAUUCGGUAACAUUAGCACAUCAUAUAGCAUGUGGUCUGUCAUUCUUGCUCCUUAUAAUCUACCUCCUUGGAAAUGUUCUAAGGACCCAUUUAUGAUAAUGCCAUUGCUUAUUCUUGUCCUCAAGCACCAGGAAAGAUAUUGAUGUUUAUUUGCGUCCCUUUAUUGAUGAGAUGAAAGAGUUAUGGAGUGAUGGUGUAGAGACAUUUGAUGCAUCAACUAGAAAGUGCUUUAAGAUGCAUGCGGCUGUUUUACGGACCAUAAAUGACUUUCCAGCUUAUGGUAAUCUCUCUGCAUGGAGCACAAAGGGAUACAUGGCAUGUCCUACUUGCAAUAAGGAUGCAUCUUCACAAAAGAUAAGAAGUAAAAUUUGUUACAUGGGUCAUAAUCGGUAUCUUGACCUUGGUCACUCAUGGAGACGAAGCAAGAAAUUCGAUGAGAACAUAAAGAAGAAUUGUUGAAACAAGUUUUGAAUGUAGACGAUAAACACCGAGAACAAUUUCCUUUAUGGUCCAAGAGAAAAAUUGUGCAAUUAUAUGACAAGGAAAAUUCAAUAUCUAUUAAGAAAUUAUAUCCUUUGGCUAUAGGACCUGAUGUGCGUGCAAGAACAUAUACUGGUUGUAUUGUAAAUGGUAUCAGGUUUCAUGUUCAACAAUACGAUAAAUUGCGUAAAAGUCAAAAUUGUGGUAUAGUUUUUGGAGGCUACAAUGAAAAUGAGGUGAUUGAUUUUUAUGGUAUUAUAGUUGACAUCCUUGAGUUAGAGUAUGUUGAGAACAAUCGAGUUCUCCUAUUUAAGUGCAAGUGGUUUGAUCUUUGCAAGAAAACAAGGAUGCAAAAAGAUAAUAAUUUUACGAGCAUUGGUGUUAAAAGAUUUUUGUAUGAACAUGAUUCUUUUGUACUAGCUACUCGAGCUAAACAAGUAUUUAAUAUUGGUUAUCCCAAAUAAGGGGAAAGCUAGCGAAUUGUGCUCAACUUUCAAGAUAGACAUUUAUAUGAUGUGCAUGAAAAGGAAAAUUCAGAGGCAAAAAUUGACGAGUUUCAUGUUACAAAUGCUGAAGUGUAUUAAGAUAUUUCACUUGAAAAAAAUUCAAUAUCGAUGAUAGAGUGGAUAUAUUUAGUGAACUACUUAGAGAUGAUGUUGAUUCGAUUAUCUUAGAUGCAAAUGUAAUUUAAUUGGAGGUUUAAAUAGAACAAGAAGUUGAAAUCACCAUGAAGAUGAUUCUGACUAAGAUGAUGAAACUAUGAUAGAGUACAUCAGUGAUCACGAGGAGUAUGAAGGUAAUAAUAGUACUGAUGAUGAUGAAGUUGAUAGAAAAUGUGAUGGUGGCGACAUUAUUUGUGAUGUAAUCGCAUAAUAGGAUCUUUAUGGACUAAAUGAAGACAAAGAAGAACAAAAUUGCAGGUGACAUUUUGAUGCUUUCUUUAGCUAGAAUGCAUGAGUUGAGAAAUGCACGUGUACAAGCAUUGCUUUUUGUCGGCAAUAAGUUAUUUAUUUGUUAUUGUGCUUUUAUUUAAACUUUUUUGAACUGUUCAUCAGUCAAUUCACUAGAGUUAUGAGUAUUCUUUCAUUAUUAGUGAUUUGUAAUAGACUUUUUUUUGUUUUUGGAGAUGGAUAUAGUAUUAUUAUAAUACUAAUAGAUUGUUGAUGAA